AACUUUUGACAUUGGAUCUCUUGAUUCUUAUAACGAAGAACUCAGCAAAAUGAGAUCAUCAUCAAAUCUUCGAACCCACAUAUCCCUUUUUUAGUUUACUAAAAAAGUGUAAAUGAUUAAAUAUCA
rnacentral:rRNA from 1 species